CCUACGGGGAGCAGCAGUGAGGAAUAUUGGUCAAUGGACGGAAGUCUGAACCAGCCAUGCCGCGUGCAGGAAGACGGCUCUAUGAGUUGUAAACUGCUUUUGUACAAGGGUAAACCUGAAUACGUGUAUUCAGCUGAAAGUACUGUACGAAUAAGGAUCGGCUAACUCCGUGCCAGCAGCCGCGGUAAUACGGAGGAUCCAAGCGUUAUCCGGAUUUAUUGGGUUUAAAGGGUGCGUAGGCGGAUUGAUAAGUUAGAGGUGAAAUGUCCGAGCUUAACUCGGGAACUGCCUCUAAUACGGUUGAUCUAGAGAGUAGAUGCGGUAGGCGGAAUGUAUGGUGUAGCGGUGAAAGGCUUAGAGAUCAUACAGAACACCGAUUGCGAAGGCAGCUUACCAAUCUAUAUCUGACGUUGAGGCACGAAAGCGUGGGGAGCAAACAGGAUUAGAUACCCUAGUAGUC
rnacentral:rRNA from 1 species